UUUUGAGUUUUGGUCUUUUUAUCUAAUACUGUAUGCCAUAGGUCAACUAUAUUUGGUGUAUGGAAAUAUUUUAUGAUCUGUAUGUCAGUCGCGCAGGUUUUAUUUGACCGUGACCUCAUUUUCACGGUUCAUUGCACAGUGUUAAGUUUUUGUGUUUUGGUCUAUUUUUCUUAUACUAUAAGUAAUGGGUCAACUAUAUAUGUUGUAUAGAAGCAUUGUUAGCUGUACAUGUUUGCCGAGGCAUGGUUCAUCUGACCUUGACCUCAUUUUCAAGGUUCAUUGGUCUUUGUUUAGUUAUCUUGGUUAAUGUUAAGUUUAUGAGACAGUUGUAAUAAAACUAAGCUUUAUACUUGGACUAUCAACAUAAUAUCAAUGAUUAGUAUAGAAGGCGAGACAUUUCAGCGUGUGCACUCUUGUUCAACUUUUGCAUAACCUUUUUUUGUUAGAUCCAAUAUAUCUAUUUUAAGAUAUUUGCUUUAUAUAUUGUAAAAUGUCAGUGGCUAAAUUUUAUGGUUUGAUAUUUUUAAAAUUUCUAUAACAAUCUGUACUAACAACAGUAAAUGAACACUCAGUAACACUUUGCUAAUUCAUGUUCUCUUAGAUCUGUAUUGUUAUGUUUUGUGUAUUGUAAUGACAUGAUUGUUUUAAUAAAAGUUGUGAUACCAGUA
rnacentral:lncRNA from 1 species